AUGGCUCAGGAUGAACGCUAGCGGGAGGCCUAACACAUGCAAGCCGAGCGGUAGAGKUCCUUCGGAMYUUGAAGAGCGGCGYACGGGUGCGUAACACGUGUGCAACCUACCUUUAUCUGGGGRAUAGCCUUUCGAAAGGAAGAUUAAYACCCCAUAAUAUAAUGAUUGGCAUCAAUUAUUAUUGAAAACUCCGGUGGAUAGAGAUGGGCACGCGCAAGAUUAGAUAGUUGGUGAGGUAACGGCUCACCAAGUCAAUGAUCUUUAGGGGUCCUGAGAGGGAGAUCCCCCACACUGGUACUGAGACACGGACCAGACUCCUACGGGAGGCAGCAGUGAGGAAUAUUGGACAAUGGGUGARAGCCUGAUCCAGCCAUCCCGCGUGAAGGAUGACGGUCCUAUGGAUUGUAAACUUCUUUUGUACAGGRAUAAACCUACUCUCGUGAGRGUAGCUGAAGGUACUGUACGAAUAAGCACCGGCUAACUCCGUGCCAGCAGCCGCGGUAAUACGGAGGGUGCAAGCGUUAUCCGGAUUUAUUGGGUUUAAAGGGUCCGUAGGCGGRCYUGUAAGUCAGUGGUGAAAUCUCAUAGCUUAACUAUGAAACUGCCAUUGAUACUGCAGGUCUUGAGUAAAUUUGAAGUGGCUGGAAUAAGUAGUGUAGCGGUGAAAUGCAUAGAUAUUACUUAGAACACCAAUUGCGAAGGCAGGUCACUAAGAUUUAACUGACGCUGAUGGACGAAAGCGUGGGKAGCGAACAGGAUUAGAUACCCUGGUAGUCCACGCCGUAAACGAUGCUAACUCGUUUUUGGAUUUUCGGAUUCAGAGACCAAGC
rnacentral:rRNA from 1 species